rnacentral:rRNA from 1 species
AUGUUAGUCGCCGCUUCAGACACCGGUGCAUUUAUCCAACAAUUAGAGGAAAAAACACCGUCGUCUCUUACCUCUCCCUACUCAGCUUCUAAUCCCCAUUUUCCAACCAUGGCGGGCGCUCACCUUCUCGCCCCUCCCCCUCCACCUCCGAGCGCCUCACCCAGCGGUUCCUCAACAGCCCGCAGCUGUCGCUCAAGUCGCUUCCGCUUCUCUCCUCCUGCCUCCCCCCUUGCUGCCGUCCGCCACCGACCGGACCUGGAUGGACGAGCACGUCCUCAAGGCCAAGCAGGCGCGGUGCUCCAGCAGUCUGGCCUCCUCGGCGUCGAUGGCAGUCUGCAUCCAUCUAGUACUGCAUCUGUAGUCUAA